rnacentral:rRNA from 1 species
CACGUAGGGUGCGAGCGUUGUCCGGAAUUAUUGGGCGUAAAGCGCGUGUAGGCGGCUUUGCAAGUCGGGUGUGAAAGCCCUCAGCUCAACUGAGGAAGUGCGCCCGAAACUGCAGAGCUUGAGUGCCGGAGAGGGUGGCGGAAUUCCCCAAGUAGAGGUGAAAUUCGUAGAUAUGGGGAGGAACACCGGUGGCGAAGGCGGCCACCUGGACGGUAACUGACGCUGAGACGCGAAAGCGUGGGGAGCAAACAGG